rnacentral:rRNA from 1 species
UAGGGAAUCUUCCGCAAUGGACGCAAGUCUGACGGAGCAACGCCGCGUGAGUGAAGAAGGAUUUCGGUUCGUAAAACUCUGUUGUUAGAGAAGAACAGCGCAUAGAGUAACUGUUAUGCGUGUGACGGUAUCUAACCAGAAAGCCACGGCUAACUACGUGCCAGCAGCCGCGGUAAUACGUAGGUGGCAAGCGUUGUCCGGAUUUAUUGGGCGUAAAGCGAGCGCAGGCGGUCAAUUAAGUCUGAUGUGAAAGCCCCCGGCUCAACCGGGGAGGGUCAUUGGAAACUGGUUGACUUGAGUGCAGAAGAGGAGAGUGGAAUUCCAUGUGUAGCGGUGAAAUGCGCAGAGGUAUGGAGGAACACCAGUGGCGAAGGCGACUUUCUGGUCUGUAACUGACGCUGAUGUGCGAAAGCGUGGGGAUCAAACAGG